UAUAGGCUGUGAAGAAUUGAGAUAUAUGGUGAUCGAGAUCAGAGCCCGGCCAAACACUAAAAGUAGAUAAUGGUGCCACACUUGUAGUUUGAUCUCCUACUACUUCCAUUUGUACUGCAAUUGGUACUUCUGGCACUUCCGCGGCCAUUGGUGUUAUCAUUGGUCUCCUUACUAUUUCAAUCUGAAUUUUUCUUCUUUCGGUUUUUUUUGGACCUACAAUUCUUUUUUGUUGUUCCCGUAGGAUAUUUCUUAUGCGUAAUUGCUCCUGUCUUUCUUUUGCUUGUCGACUAAUUCUUUGAUAAUCCUCCCCUUCAUGAUUAUCACUUAUAAUCUUUCAUUUUUCUUUAGAAAAUCAAUAUUGCCUUGAAUUAUAACUCACAUAUUUAUAACCCUAAAAUUAAUUCUUCUCACGUUCUCAUUCAACAUAUAAUUCUAUCUCCCAUACAAUCAAUUUCUAACAUUUCAUGUUCUUAUUAUUUCCCUGGCA
rnacentral:lncRNA from 1 species